rnacentral:lncRNA from 1 species
GUCUAUUUUGAGUUAAUCAACCAAAAACUUAAAAACAAUUUUUUUCAGACAGCUCCUUUGAUCUGCAGCUUGGAUCUUCUCCUGGUGAGUAGGCUUGGACUGGAACUUUGGCACUUGGACUGCUUCUGGGAGGACCACUCCUGGAUCUCUCCUUUGAAGUCCAUCUUGGGUCCUGUGGUGACACACAAGUUCUGAAGCAAUAACUAUAGAUACAUAUGGAAUUGAAGAAAGAACCAUGAACACAGAUGUCCAUUGAUAUAGUGCUGUCUUUUCAUUGGACCAAAACAAGGUGGACAGCUGUCGACAAAGAGAACUGCUUCAAAGAGAACUACUACUGCCUUUAAUUCCCCAAACUCCAUCCUCCAGAGUAUUAUCCACCAGUAAAGUGGCAAAGAACUGGAAAUGGAAGCGAUGUCUAUCAUUCAAUGGAAUGUGAUC